UACGGGGGGAUGCAAGCGUUUAUCCGGAAUUAUUGGGCGUAAAGGGUCCUGAGGUGGCUAGCCAAGUCUAUUGUGAAAUAUCAGGGCUUAACCCUGAACAUGCGGUGGAAACUAGAAAGCUUGAGUACAGUAGGGGCGGAGGGAAUUUCCGGUGGAGCGGUGAAAUGCAUAGAUAUCGGGAAGAACACCAACGGCGAAAGCACUCCGCUGGGCUGAUACUGACACUGACAGACGAAAGCUAGGGUAGCGAAAGGG
rnacentral:rRNA from 1 species